rnacentral:rRNA from 1 species
UACGUAGGGUGCGAGCGUUAAUCGGAUUUACUGGGCGUAAAGCGUGCGCAGGCGGUCCGUUAAGACAGGUGUGAAAUCCCUGGGCUCAACCUAGGAAUUGCGCUUGUGACUGGCGGGCUCGAGUACGGUAGAGGGGGGUGGAAUUCCUGGUGUAGCAGUGAAAUGCGUAGAGAUCAGGAGGAACACCGAUGGCGAAGGCAGCCCCCUGGGACUGUACUGACGCUCAUGCACGAAAGCGUGGGGAGCAAACAGG